AGGAUGAACGCUGGCGGCGUGCUUAACACAUGCAAGUCGAACGAUGAACCUCACUUGUGGGGGGAUUAGUGGCGAACGGGUGAGUAACACGUGAGUAACCUGCCCUUGACUCUGGGAUAAGCCUGGGAAACUGGGUCUAAUACCGGAUAUGACUCCUCAUCGCAUGGUGGGGGGUGGAAAGCUUUUUGUGGUUUUGGAUGGACUCGCGGCCUAUCAGCUUGUUGGUGAGGUAAUGGCUCACCAAGGCGACGACGGGUAGCCGGCCUGAGAGGGUGACCGGCCACACUGGGACUGAGACACGGCCCAGACUCCUACGGGAGGCAGCAGUGGGGAAUAUUGCACAAUGGGCGAAAGCCUGAUGCAGCGACGCCGCGUGAGGGAUGACGGCCUUCGGUUGUAACCUCUUUCAGUAGGAAGAAGCGAAAGUGACGGUACCUGCAGAAGAAGCGCCGGCUAACUACGUGCCAGCAGCCGC
rnacentral:rRNA from 1 species